GACGAACGCUGGCGGCGUGCUUAACACAUGCAAGUCGAACGGAAAGGCCCUGCUUUUGUGGGGUGCUCGAGUGGCGAACGGGUGAGUAACACGUGAGUAACCUGCCCUUGACUUUGGGAUAACUUCAGGAAACUGGGGCUAAUACCGGAUAGGAGCUCCUGCUGCAUGGUGGGGGUUGGAAAGUUUCGGCGGUUGGGGAUGGACUCGCGGCUUAUCAGCUUGUUGGUGGGGUAGUGGCUUACCAAGGCUUUGACGGGUAGCCGGCCUGAGAGGGGGACCGGCCACAUUGGGACUAAGAUACGGAGCAGACGCCUACGGGGGGCAGCAGUGGGGAAUAUUGCACAAUGAGCGGAAGCCUGAUGCAGCAACGCCGCGUGUGGGAUGACGGCCUUCGGGUUGUGAACCGCUUUCGCCUGUGACGAAGCGUGAGUGACGGUAAUGGGUAAAGAAGCACCGGCUAACUACGUG
rnacentral:rRNA from 1 species